rnacentral:rRNA from 1 species
UACGUAGGGUGCGAGCGUUGUCCGGAUUUACUGGGCGUAAAGAGCGCGCAGGCGGUCGUUCAAGUCGAGUGUGAAAGCCCCCGGCUCAACUGGGGAGGGUCACUCGAUACUGAUCGACUCGAAGGCAGGAGAGGGUAGUGGAAUUCCCGGUGUAGUGGUGAAAUGCGUAGAUAUCGGGAGGAACACCAGUGGCGAAGGCGACUACCUGGCCUGUUCUUGACGCUGAGGCGCGAAAGCUAGGGGAGCAAACGGG